CGAAUAGUUAGAAUAAUAGCCAGAUAUGCAUGAAGAAAAUUCAGCUACAGAUACCAAGUCAUUUGGCAGAGAUCUACAUGGAGGGGUGCCUGGCCAUAUUGAGUGCCACAUUUCAUUUCACAAGUUGUUGAAUGUGAGACUAACAACACAGUGGUAUUGGUUGUCAUAGUGAUGAGAUUGUAGCCGUUCUUCAGAAAGAAAAGCAGCAGAAAUUAUUUUGAAUCAUACAAAGUAAUCAUUUGGGUUUCAGGUUUCAACAUGGAAAUCUGAAUGCAUCUGUUAUGGGUCAGUCAGUGACACUCAGGUUUUUUCAGGAGAGAAUGGCUGAGAUACAAGUAACAAGCAACAUUGUGGAGACAUGAUGGGGGAGCCUGACCAUGUGUAGUGCCAUGGAGAGAAGCUAGAGAUACAGAUAACAAGGAAUAUUGUGGAGACAUGAUGGGGAGCUGAGACAUGAUGUAGUGUCACAUCUGGCCAUUUUUGUCUCAUCUUGUAAGUAAAUUUACAUCAAAUUACUUUCUUUGACUCUAAAAGUAAUUGUAACAUUGCUCUUUUUCAGACAUUCACUUGCUGUUCAAAUUAUUUCAUUUCUCUCUACUUCACAUUUCUCAUACAACCUCACAUUUCCUAGCUAUAAUGAGAGUUAUAUUUUUGAUUGGAUGUAAAAGAAAUGAAAAUAUACAAAGUCAUCUUUUACAAAAGCAUUUCAUUCAACAGAUGUAUUACACAGCCUGUUUCAUUUUUCUUUAUUAUUAAUGAAUUAAUUAUAUUUUUAAUUAUUAUAGAAAACUAAUGUAUUGCUACAUCAUAUUUCAUAUUACUUAAUCCAUACUUUUUCCAAAAUCUAUAAAGUGUAAGAUAUUAUAAUGUGUGAUUCACUAUAUUUAUAAUCAAAGAAGUAUUUAAAAAACUAUACACUUUAAUUAUUUAUUAUGGGUGAUUUUGGAGUGGUGUUUCAAUCUUACUC